rnacentral:lncRNA from 1 species
CGGAACGUCGCCUAUCAAUGUCGUGUUCGCGUCUAUAGUACACCUGUGUCGCGGAUUAAGAAGGAGGACCGACCGCAGAUUGUGAACUAACACUUUACACGGCGGCGCUGGAAUACGUAUUAGCUUUACUUCCUCGUCCCCUGGCUCCGCGAAACGAUCGGAAGGACUUCCAGUAGCUGAGGAUGGGCCCUCUCGAGAUGAAGUGACAGACUUGACAGCUAUGGUGGCAGUACUCACGACGGGUGCCAUCAGUUGGGCAGGGUAUACUCACCUUUUACGAACACCUGAUACCACAACUGUUAUGACAGUGAUUCAUGAGUAGAGAUGGGUAUUCAACAAUUUUAGUAUUGCAAUACAUUGCGAUACAGGAACCUGAAUUAUGAUACGUACCACGAUAUAUGGCGAAGACCAAUUCUCAAUUAUUAGAAUGUAUAAACUGCUCUAAUUUCAUGUGGAGUUUUAUUUGUAUAACUGAAUAAAAUGAAACAAAGAAA